rnacentral:lncRNA from 1 species
UAUAAUCAUUGUUGCAUUAUAUAAAAUUUUACUUACUUACAAUCGAAUAAUUCACAUUGAUUCAAAAAAAAUACAACUGUUUCAGAUAAAUAAAUUCUAUUGCUACUACAAGUCUACAACAUUGCAAUAAGGAAUGAAGAAUAAAUAAAAAUAUAAGCUUAUAUUAAACUCUUACUAAGGAUCCACGGGUGACAUCAAGCCUAACUACUUCUGAUCGCCAAUCCAAAAUCAUCGUUUUGUCACGUCUUCGACGUUGUUGCAAUUUCUGCACAACUCAAAACUCUAAGAACUUGGGGCGUAAGCCUGGUC